rnacentral:rRNA from 1 species
UUAGGAAUUUUGGGCAAUGGGCGGAAGCCUGACCCAGCAACGCCGCGUGGGUGAUGAAGGCCUUCGGGUCGUAAAGCCCUUUUCCCAGGGACGAUGGUGACGGUACCUGGGGAAUCAGCCCCGGCUCCCUCCGUGCCCGCAGCCGCGGGAAUACGUCGGCUGCCAGCGUUUUCCGGAAUUAUUGGGCGUAAAGCGUCCGUAGGGGGUUGUUUCAGUCUGCUGUUAAAGCGUGCUGCUUAACCUCAUCUC